GGAAGUGUGUUUAUUAUGUCCCACUGGGUGACGCCCAGGUAUUGAGCAGGUAAAGCAUGCACCUGUGGGGUAUGUACGUGUCGGGCUAGGGUGAUUUGAUCAUUCGAGAAAGAACUUGGCAAGAGAGACGUCAUGUGUGAAUAGCUUGGCAAGCAGGCAUCAGCAGCGCUGACUUCUGGGGUUUCAACCCCUAACGGUGACCUACUGUAGAGGUGACCUUGACGGUCAGUGGGUUAUGAAGCUCAUGUCCAUGUGGAAUGGACAGCAGUACAUGUCUACGAUCUAAUGCUGGACAAAAUGGACAGUAGUACACGUCUACACUCUAAUGGUGGACAAAAUGGACAGAAGUACACGUCUACACUCUAAUGGUGGACAAAAUGGACAGUAGUACACGUCUACACUCUAAUGGUGGACAAAAUGGACAGUAGUACACGUCUACACUCUAACGGUGGACAAAAUGGACAGUAGUACACGUCUACACUCUAAUGGUGGACAGUAGUACACGUCUACACUCUAAUGGUGGACAAAAUGGACAGCAGGACACGUCUACACUCUAAUGGUGGACAAAAUGGACAGUAGUACACGUCUACACUCUAAUGGUGGACAGUAGUACACGUCUACACUCUAAUGGUGGACAAAAUGGACAGUAGUACACGUCUACACUCUAACGGUGGACAAAAUGGACAGUAGUACACGUCUACACUCAAAUGGUGGACAGUAGUACAUGUCUACACUCUAAUGGUGGACAGUAGUACACGUCUACACUCUAAUGGUGGACAGUAGUACACGUCUACACUCUAACGGUGGACAAAAUGGACAGUAGUACAUGUCUACACUCUAAUGGUGGACAGUAGUACACGUCUACACUCUAAUGGUGGACAGUAGUACACGUCUACACUCUAAUGGUGGACAGUAGUACACGUCUACACUCUAAUGGUGGACAAAAUGGACAGUAGUACACGUCUACACUCUAAUGGUGGACAGUAGUACACGUCUACACUCUAAUGGUGGACAAAAUGGACAGUAGUACACGUCUACACUCUAAUGGUGGACAGUAGUACACGUCUACACUCUAAUGGUGGACAAAAUGGACAGUAGUACACGUCUACACUCUAACGGUGGACAAAAUGGACAGUAGUACACGUCUACACUCUAAUGGUGGACAGUAGUACACGUCUACACUCUAAUGGUGGACAGUAGUACAUGUCUACACUCUAAUGGUGGACAGUAGUACACGUCUACACUCUAAUGGUGGACAGUAGUACACGUCUACACUCUAAUGGUGGACAAAAUGGACAGUAGUACAUGUCUACACUCUAAUGGUGGACAAAAUGGACAGUAGUACACAUCUACACUCUAAUGGUGGACAAAAUGGACAGCAGGACACGUCUACACUCUAAUGGUGGACAAAAUGGACAGUAGUACACGUCUACACUCUAAUGGUGGACAAAAUGGAUAGUAGUACACGUCUACGCUCUAAUGGCGGGCAAAACGGGGAGUUGGCCCAAGCCCGGGCCGGUUAAUUGGCAACACCCUACAGUGGAAUUGUUGCAGCCAAAGCGUAUUUGAUUCGGUGGACCGUCAUACCUGGAAUGGCUUCGUUGGAAAAACCAGACUUUGUCGAAUUAUUUCUAAUUAUUUGUUGUAAAUAAAUGUAUAUAGUUAUUUA